rnacentral:rRNA from 1 species
AUUGAACGCUGGCGGCAGGCCUAACACAUGCAAGUCGAGCGGAGCGGCGGACGGGUGAGUAAUGCCUAGGAAUCUGCCUGGUCGUGGGGGAUAACGUCCGGAAACGGGCGCUAAUACCGCAUACUAUCAGAUGAGCCUAGGUCGGAUUAGCUGGUUGGUGGGGUAAAGGCCUACCAAGGCGACGAUCCGUAAGUGGUCUGAGAGGAUGAUCAGUCAAUCUGGAACUGGGACACGGUCCAGAUUCUUACGGGAGGCAGACGUGGGGAACAUUGGCAAAUGGGCGAAAGCCUGAUCCAGCCAUGCCGCGUGUGUGAAGAAGGUCUUCGGAUGGUAAAGCACUUUAAGUUGGGAGGCGUUACCAACAGAAUAAGCACCGGCUAACUUCGUGCCAGCAGCCGCGGUAAUAC